CAGCAGCCACGGUAAUACGGAGGAUCCAAGCGUUAUCCGGAAUCAUUGGGUUUAAAGGGUCCGUAGGCGGUUUUAUAAGUCAGUGGUGAAAUCCGGCAGCUCAACUGUCGAACUGCCAUUGAUACUGUAGAACUUGAAUUACUGUGAAGUAACUAGAAUAUGUAGUGUAGCGGUGAAAUGCUUAGAUAUUACAUGGAAUACCAAUUGCGAAGGCAGGUUACUAACAUUAUAUUGACGCUGAUGGACGAAAGCGUGGGGAGCGAACAGGAUUAGAUACCCCUGUAGUCCCUGUCUCUUAUAC
rnacentral:rRNA from 1 species